rnacentral:rRNA from 1 species
CCUACGGGAGGCAGCAGUGGGGAAUAUUGCACAAUGGGGGAAACCCUGAUGCAGCGACGCCGCGUGAGUGAAGAAGUAAUUCGUUACGUAAAGCUCUAUCAGCAGGGAAGAACCACUUACCUUACGGUCAGCAUCCGGUACCUGAGUAAGACGCCCCUGCUAACUACGUGCCAGCCGCCGCGGUAAUACGUGGGGGGCAAGCGUUAUCCGGAUUUACUGGGUGUAAAGGGAGCGUAGACGGUGCGCCAAGUCUGAAGUGAAAUGCCGCAGCUUAACUGCGGAACUGCUUGGAAACUGGCGAACUAGAGUGCGGGAGGGGUAAGCGGAAUUCCUAGUGUAGCGGUGAAAUGCGUAGAGAUUAGGAGGAACACCGGUGGCGAAGGCGGCUUACUGGACCGUAACUGACGUUGAGGCUCGAAAGCGUGGGGAGCAAACAGGAUUAGAUACCCCUGUAGUC